AAAAACAUGUCUAUUUGAGGAUAUAUGUAGUCUAGCCUGCUCACUGACAUAAAUGUUAAAUAGCCGCGGUAUCUUGACCGUGCAAAGGUAGCAUAAUCAUUAGUUUUUUAAUUGGAAACUCGUAUGAAUGGUUGGACAAAGAAAAAUCUGUCUCUUUUAUUAAAAUUGAAUUUGACUUUUAAGUGAAAAGGCUUAAAUUUUCUAGAGGGACGAUAAGACCCUAUAAAGCUUUAUAAAUUCGAUAAUUUUGCAAAUUUGUACAAAUAAAAGUAAUUUUGAAAAAUUUAUUUGGUUGGGGCGACAAAAGUAUAAUUAAAAUAACUGCUAGAAUUUCAAACAAUAAUUUUUGAUUUAGGUUUGUAAAUGAUCCCUUAUAAGGAUUAAAAGAUCAAGUUACUUUAGGGAUAACAGCGUAAUCUUUUUUGAGAGUGCUUAUCAAAAAAAAGGUUUGCGACCUCGAUGUUGAAUUAAAAUGUCUUUACGGUGCAGCAGCUGUAUAAGAAGGUCUGUUCGACCUUUAAUUUUUUACGUGAUU
rnacentral:rRNA from 1 species